UACGGGGGGGCAAGCGUUGUUCGGAAUUACUGGGCGUAAAGGGCUCGUAGGCGGCCAACUAAGUCGGAUGUGAAAUCCCCAGGCUUAACCUGGGAACUGCAUCCGAUACUGGAUGGCUUGAAUCCGGGAGAGGGAUGCAGAAUUCCAGGUGUAGCGGUGAAAUGCGUAGAUAUCUGGAGGAAUACCGGUGGCGAAGGCGGCAUCCUGGACCGGCAUUGACGCUGAGUGAGCGAAAGCUAGGGGAGCAAACAGG
rnacentral:rRNA from 1 species